UUUGUUAAUUAAUUAAUUGGUGGGACCUACCCAACUAAUUGCUUUUCCUUCCCAUUUAAUUUUUUCCUGGUCCUUCGCUCCUCUACUUCGUCUUCCACCUCCGCUCCUUCUUCUUCCGCCUCUUCGAUCCCUGCUACCCCACAUCUUCGAUACCGCCUCCGUUUCGAUCCCGGUUGCUCUCUCUAUCUCUCAUCUCCCCUCCUCACCGACCCUUGCCUUCGAUCCUCUUCGUCCCCUCGACCUCUCCCCUCCCCCGAAACCCUAGCUCUCUCGAUCGUGGGGGGUGGCGUGCAGCCAUAAAGCUUGCGGGGCUCAGAUAGGUGGAGAACGCCCACGACGAGUCGAUCUGGGCGGCGACGUGGGUCCCUGCCAUCGACUCCCGCCCCGCGCUCCUCCUCACGGGCUCACUCGACGAGACCGUGAGGCUCUGGCGCCCUGACGAGCUCGCCGCAGCAGCGCCGCCCUCGCGCGGCCACGUCCUCGGCGUUGUCGCCGCCGCCGCCCACCCCUCCGGCUCCCUCGCCGCCGCCGCCGCCGCCUCCCUCGACAGCUCCGUCCGCAUCUUCGACGUCGACUCCAACGCCUCCAUCGCCUCCCUCGACGCCUCCCUCCCUCCUCCGAGGUCUGGGGCUUGCAGUUCGACCCCAAGCGGCGGCAGCGGCGGUGCUGGCGCCGGCAUCGCCCGUGGAUUCGUAGGAUUACUGGCGGAAGUUUUUCCGCACCGCGGCGGACGCCGACAUCUUCCGGGUGAUCGAGAAGGCCAUCGCGGUCUCCAUCGUAGACUUUCCUGACGAGCUCCGCACCGGCGCGCUCGGAUCGGGGAGGAGAGCCACACGCUCGGAGAGGUUUUGAGAAUCAAGGGCGUUCAUAGCGCUGGCCGGGAGCACGUCCGCGACUAGAUUUCGAUGCCGAAUUGCUUUGCCCCGAAGGUGUUUGAUGAAUUGCCUGAAUGAAUUUUUGUGUGUGUGAUGUUGCAGUCGGACGGGGUGCUGUUCGAGUUGCUGAGAAGGCUGCAGCUGAUGGAGCUUUCAGUGCAGACGCUGCAGGUGCGGCCUUCAAGUACCAACACUCAAGAGCAACAUGAAAAAUCAUUCAACGCCGCCCUCGCACAGUCACGCCCUUGGCGUCGUCGCCGCCGCCACCCACCCCUCCGGCUCCCUCGCCGUCGCCGCCUCCCUCGACAGCUCCAUUCGCGUCUUCGACGUCGACUCCAACGAUAGUUCGACCCCAAGUACUGCUACGAGGGCGAAAGCUGCUACAAGAGGGACUGGAACUCCUCCAAGGGCUAACAGUGAACUUAUAAUGGAUGAUUAAGCAAACUCCCCAGCACUUAAAAAAGAGGGCUUAAAAGAAGGCAAACAAUUAGGUUAAGUAUUCCCACUGCUGGCUGGCUUUAGAAUGUAAUGGUACAGCCUGGAUUGACAUACCUGCUUUCUAUUUCAUUUACAUAUUGCAUGAUUCCAUCGAUGAGCAUAUUAGGCUAAUAUGACUUGCAAGCUUUUCUAUUUUAUUCCUCUCUAAGAAGUUUGGCGUUGUUCAUCUAUUCACAUUAUGUUGGUGAAACGAACGACGUUUCAUUUUUGUUUUAAAAUGGCAUAUAUACUUUCUGUAUCAUGCGCAUUUGUCCAGUAGGGCAUGGGCACGUGUGCAGCAGUUAGGGGGUGGUGUUUUUGCAGCAUUUCGGGAAAUCCAACAUAAGAUAAUGAAAA